AACGUAGGAGGCUAGCGUUAUCCGGAUUUAUUGGGCGUAAAGCGCGUGCAGGCGGUUUGAUAAGUUGGAUGUGAAAUCUCCCGGCUUAACUGGGAGCGGUCGUUCAAAACUAUCAGACUAGAGAAUGGGAGAGGGAGGUGGAAUUCCGGGUGUAGUGGUGAAAUGCGUAGAUAUCCGGAGGAACACCGGUGGCGAAGGCGGCUACCUGGACCGAUACUGACGCUGAGACGCGAAAGCGUGGGGAUCAAACAGGAUUAGAUACCCCUGUAGUCCCUGAGCGGG
rnacentral:rRNA from 1 species